rnacentral:rRNA from 1 species
UACAGAGGUCUCAAGCGUUGUUCGGAUUCAUUGGGCGUAAAGGGCGCGUAGGCGGCGCGGUAAGUCGGGUGUGAAAUCUCGGAGCUUAACUCCGAAACUGCAUUCGAUACUGCCGUGCUUGAGGACUGGAGAGGAGACUGGAAUUUACGGUGUAGCGGUGAAAUGCGUAGAUAUCGUAAGGAAGACCAGUGGCGAAGGCGGGUCUCUGGACAGUGCCUGACGCUGAGGCACGAAGGCCAGGGGAGCAAACGGG